CCCUCCUUGGCAUUUAUCAUUCCAACUAUGGAGAUUUUUGAUCAUGGAUACAUCUUGUGAACCACAAAGUGGAGAAUCCCACAAAGUGACACAGCUAUAUGGUUAGGACUCCUGUCAUAGCUUCCUCUACCAUCUUGUGAUCCUUCUACUUACUCAUGGUGGUUACUAUGCCAGCCUCUAGGGUGCAGGGAUAAAACUGCUGCUCCCUAUUUCAGGAGAUAAUAGUCAAACAGGGGUGAAAUAUGAAAGCAGAUGACUUAUAGCAUUGGAUCUCAGAAAAUGGUAAGCUGCUUUUUCUAAUCCUGACCUAUUUUACUCUAGCAAAACACUAAAAUAUAUGCA
rnacentral:lncRNA from 1 species